rnacentral:lncRNA from 1 species
GUCUCUGUGUCUAGCGGCGCCGGACAGGGAAACUUCCUUAGCUUUGCAAUUGCCCAAGGUUAGGCUCCGCCGGCUCUCGCAGGGGCGGGUUGUGGUUUGCAGGAGAUGCUAAGGUAGGUUGUUGGCAGUCGAAUAUUCAGACUUAAUUGACCUUAGUUAUUUAUGGAAGCUUCGAAGGCACUUGGGUUAUAGUCAGCUCUCCACCUUGCGCAGCGGUGUAGACCACAGCCUGGCAGGGAAGCCUGCCUGCCGACCACAGAAAUUUUCAUACUCGUUUAUAAAGAAGAUUUAUACUGAGCUCCGUAGGAACCUUGGUGUCCGACCCCGGUCUGCAAAGCUUUACAGCCUUCAGGUAAUAAUCUUCAGUAGUCAAGAUGUCUUCAGCACCGGAUCCUCCAACAGUUAAAAAAGAACCAUCAAAAGAGAGAAACUUUGAAAACCCAGGCCUCCGAGGGACGCACCCAACAACCUUGUUUCGAGCUGUGAAUCCUGAGCUCUUCAUUAAACCUGUAAGAAACAC